rnacentral:tRNA from 1 species
GCCCUGUGGUGUUACCACGUCAGAUUGCAAACCUGAAGUAGUAGGCUACCGCCUGCCGGGGCUU